rnacentral:rRNA from 1 species
CGCAAGUAGAGUGGCGAACGGGUGAGUAAUACAUCGGAACAUAUCCAGUAGCGGGGGAUAACCUGUCGAAAGAUAGGCUAAUACCGCAUACGAUCUACGGAUGAAAGCGGGGGAUCGCAAGACCUCGCGCGAUUGGAGCGGCCGAUAUCUGAUUAGGUAGUUGGUAGGGUAAAGGCCUACCAAGCCGACGAUCAGUAGCUGGUCUGAGAGGACGAUCAGCCACACUGGAACUGAGACACGGUCCAGACUCC